GGAGUCUGGACCGUGUCUCAGUUCCAAUGUGGGGGACCUUCCUCUCAGAACCCCUACCCAUCGUCGGUUUGGUGGGCCGUUACCCCGCCAACUGCCUAAUGGGACGCGAGCCAAUCCGAUAGCGAUAAAUCUAUUAAACAAGGAUCAUGCGGUCCCUGUUGUUACGGAGUAUUACGCGACGUUUCCAUCGACUAUCCUCCACUACCGGGCAUGUUGCUCACGCGUUACUCACCCGUGCGCCGGUCGCCAUCAGGAAUUGCAAGCAACUCCCAUGCUGCCCCUCGACUUGCAUGUGUUAAGCCUGUAGCUAGCGUUCAUC
rnacentral:rRNA from 1 species